AACGCAUAUUGCGCCCCUUGGUAUUCCGGGGGGCACACCUGUUCGAGCGCCAUUUCGACCCUCAAGCAUGGCUUGUUGUUGGGCAAGGUCCCUUGGGGGACCGGCCCCUAACUUGUAGGCGGUCACCGACCUCUUCCCCAGCGCAGCACGCCCACGCAUCCGCUCGGGAAAGGCGCGUCCGACCCGCCAGGCGAAAAUCCAAACCCACUUUUUCAAGGUUUGGCCUCGGAUCAGGUGGGGAUACCCGCUGAACUUAA
rnacentral:misc_RNA from 1 species